rnacentral:rRNA from 1 species
UACAGAGGUCCCAAGCGUUGUUCGGAUUCACUGGGCGUAAAGGGUGCGUAGGUGGUGGGGUAAGUCGGAUGUGAAAGCUCGGAGCUCAACUCCGAAAUGGCAUUGGAAACUACCCUGCUAGAGGAUUGGAGGGGGGACUGGAAUACUUGGUGUAGCAGUGAAAUGCGUAGAUAUCAAGUGGAACACCAGUGGCGAAGGCGCUGCUCUGGGCCGAAACUGACGCUGAGGAGCGAAAGCGUGGGUAGCAAACAGG